rnacentral:rRNA from 1 species
UUUAUGGAGAGUUUGAUCCUGGCUCAGGACGAACGCUGGCGGCGUGCCUAAUACAUGCAAGUCGAGCGAACUCAAUUAAAGCUUGCUUUAUGAGAGUUAGCGGCGGACGGGUGAGUAACACGUGGGCAACCUGCCCUGUAGACUGGGAUAACUUCGGGAAACCGAAGCUAAUACCGGAUAAUCUUUGGAGCCUCAUGGUUCUAAAGUAAAAGUUGGGUUUUACCUAACACUACAGGAUGGGCCCGCGUCGCAUUAGCUAGUUGGUAAGGUAACGGCUUACCAAGGCGACGAUGCGUAGCCGACCUGAGAGGGUGAUCGGCCACACUGGGACUGAGACACGGCCCAGACUCCUACGGGAGGCAGCAGUAGGGAAUCUUCCGCAAUGGACGAAAGUCUGACGGAGCAACGCCGCGUGAGCGAUGAAGGCCUUCGGGUCGUAAAGCUCUGUUGUUAGGGAAGAACAAGUACCGUUCNAAUAGGGCGGUACCUUGACGGUACCUAACGAGAAAGCCACGGCUAACUACGUGCCAGCAGCCGCGGUAAUACGUAGGUGGCAAGCGUUGUCCGGAAUUAUUGGGCGUAAAGCGCGCGCAGGCGGUCUCUUAAGUCUGAUGUGAAAGCCCCCGGCUCAACCGGGGAGGGUCAUUGGAAACUGGGAGACUUGAGUGCAGAAGAGG